rnacentral:siRNA from 1 species
CUAGAGGUGUCAGAAAAGUUACC